UUUGUAGUGCUUCAUUUAGUGAUACAGCCUUCAUAAAGCUUCUCUAGGUUAACGCCAUAUAUGAAGACAAUAAUGAUGUGUUACAUCGUGUUGCCCUCUUUAGGUAGCCUAGUGGUUAGAGCAUUGGGCCCGUAACUGAAAGGUUGCUAGAUCGAAUCCCUGAGCGGACAAGGUAAAAAUCUGUCAUUCUGCCCCUGAGCAAGGCAGUUAACCCACUGUUCCCCUGAACAAGGCAGUUAACCCACUGUUCCCCUGAGCAAGGCAGUUAACCCACUGUUCCCCUGAGCAAGGCAGUUAACCCACUGUUCCCUGGGCGCCGUGGAUGUCGAUUAAGGCAGCCCCCCGCACCUCUCUGAUUCACAGGGGUUAAAUGCGGAAGACACAUAUCAGUUGAAGGCAUUCAGUUGUACAACUGACUAGGUAUCCCCCUUUCCAUUAUUGCCAUCGUGGUUAUUAUUUGACCCUGCUGGUCAUCUAUGAACGAUCUGGCCUUAAUGGUCACAUGGACUCUUAAAUCUCUAUCCGGCACAGCCAGAAGAGGUCUGGUCACCCAUCAGAGCCUGGUUCCUCUCUACCCAGUACAGCCAGAAGAGGACUGGCCACCCAUCAGAGCCUGGUUCCUCUCUACCCGACACAGCCAGAAGAGGACUGGUCCCGCCUCGGCGCCUGGUUCCUCUCUACCAGACACAGCCAGAAGAGGACUGGUCCCGCCUCGGCGCCUGGUUCCUCUCUACCAGACACAGCCAGAAGAGGACUGGUCACGCCUCGGUGCCUGGUUCCUCUACCAGACACAGCCAGAAGAGGACUGGUCCCGCCUCAGCGCCUGGUUCCUCUCUACCCGACACAGCCAGAAGAGGACUGGCCACCCAUCAGAGCCCUGCUUCCUCUCUAGGUUUCUUCCUAGGUUUCUGCCUUUCAAGGGAGCUUUUCCUAGUCCCUUUGCUUCUGCCUCUGCAUUGCUUGUUCUUUGUGGUUAUAGGCAGGGUAUCUGCAGGGCACUUUGUGACACCUGCUGA
rnacentral:lncRNA from 13 species